rnacentral:tRNA from 1 species
GAGGGUAUAGCUCAGUGGCAGAGUGCAUGCUUAGCAUGCAUGAGGUCCUGGGUUCAAUUCUCAGUAACUUCA